rnacentral:miRNA from 1 species
UGGCAUAUACGAGGUUGGUGCAAAAGUAAUUGCAGUUUUUGCAAUUUUCUUUAAUGGCAGAAACCACAAUUAUUUUUGCACCAAACUAGUAGUU